rnacentral:rRNA from 1 species
AGUGGCGAACGGGUGAGUAAAGUAUCGGAACGUGCCCAGUCGUGGGGGAUAACGUAGCGAAAGUUACGCUAAUACCGCAUACGAUCUAUGGAUGAAAGCGGGGGAUCGCAAGACCUCGCGCGAUUGGAGCGGCCGAUAUCAGAUUAGGUAGUUGGUGGGGUAAAGGCUCACCAAGCCGACGAUCUGUAGCUGGUCUGAGAGGACGACCAGCCACACUGGGACUGAGACACGGCCCAGACUCCUACGGGAGGCAGCAGUGGGGAAUUUUGGACAAUGGGCGCAAGCCUGAUCCAGCCAUGCCGCGUGCAGGAUGAAGGCCUUCGGGUUGUAAACUGCUUUUGUACGGAACGAAAAGGUUUGGCCUAAUAAGCUGAGCUCAUGACGGUACCGUAAGAAUAAGCACCGGCUAACUACGUGCCAGCAGCCGCGGUAAUACGUAGGGUGCGAGCGUUAAUCGGAAUUACUGGGCGUAAAGCGUGCGCAGGCGGUUAUGUAAGACAGAUGUGAAAUCCCCGGGCUCAACCUGGGAACUGCAUUAGUGACUGCAUAGCUGGAGUACGGCAGAGGGGGGAUGGAAUUCCGCGUGUAGCAGUGAAAUGCGUAGAUAUGCGGAGGAACACCGAUGGCGAAAGGCAAUCCCCUGGGCCUGUACUGACGCUCAUGCACGAAAGCGUGGG